UACGGAGGGUGCGAGCGUUGUCCGGAAUCAUUGGGCGUAAAGGGCGCGUAGGUGGCCCGGUCAGUUCGUGGUGAAAGCGCGGGGCUCAACCCUGCGUCGGCCAUGAAUACUGCCGCGGCUGGAGCACUGUAGAGGCAGGCGGAAUUCCGGGUGUAGCGGUGGAAUGCGUAGAGAUCCGGAAGAACACCGGUGGCGAAGGCGGCCUGCUGGGCAGUUGCUGGACACUGAGGCGCGACAGCGUGGGGGAGCAAACAGG
rnacentral:rRNA from 1 species